rnacentral:rRNA from 1 species
ACAGAGGGUGCGAGCGUUGUCCGGAAUUACUGGGCGUAAAGGGCGCGUAGGCGGCCUGAUAAGUAUGGGGUGAAAUCUCACGGCUCAACCGUGAGGCUGCCUUGUAGACUGUCAGGCUUGAGCACGGUAGAGGCAGAUGGAAUUCCCGGUGUAGCGGUGGAAUGCGUAGAGAUCGGGAAGAACACCAGUGGCGAAGGCGGACUGCUGGGCCGUAGCUGACGCUGAGGCGCGACAGCGUGGGGAGCAAACAGGAUUAGAUACCCUGGUAGUCCACGCCGUAAACGAUGGGCACUAGGCGUCGGGGGGAGCGACCCUCCCGGUGCCGUCGCUAACGCAGUAAGUGCCCCGCCUGGGGAGUACGGCCGCAAGGCUG